rnacentral:rRNA from 1 species
GUGGGGAAUAUUGGACAAUGGGCGCAAGCCUGAUCCAGCCAUGCCGCGUGAGUGAUGAAGGCCUUAGGGUUGUAAAGCUCUUUCACCAAUGAAGAUAAUGACGGUAGUCGGAGAAGAAGCCCCGGCUAACUUCGUGCCAGCAGCCGCGGUAAUACGAAGGGGGCUAGCGUUGUUCGGAUUUACUGGGCGUAAAGCGCACGUAGGCGGUUUGUUAAGUCAGGGGUGAAAUCCCGGAGCUCAACUCCGGAACUGCCUUUGAUACUGGCAAGCUAGAGUCCGGAAGAGGUAAGUGGAACUCCUAGUGUAGAGGUGGAAUUCGUAGAUAUUAGGAAGAACACCAGUGGCGAAGGCGGCUUACUGGUCCGGAACUGACGCUGAGGUGCGAAAGCGUGGGGAGCAAACAGGAUUAGAAACCCUGGUAGUCC